UACAGAGGGUGCAAGCGUUGUUCGGAAUUAUUGGGCGUAAAGGGCGCGUAGGCGGUGCGGUAAGUCUGUAGUGAAAUCUAUGGGCUCAACCCAUAGUCUGCAUCGGAAACUGUCGGGCUGGAGUGUGGGAGAGGUGAGUGGAAUUUCCGGUGUAGCGGUGAAAUGCGUAGAUAUCGGGAGGAACACCUGUGGCGAAAGCGGCGCACUGGACCACAACUGACGCUGAGGCGCGAAAGCUAGGGGAGCAAACAGG
rnacentral:rRNA from 1 species